GACGAACGCUGGCGGCGUGCUUAACACAUGCAAGUCGAACGGAAAGGCCCUGCUUUUGUUGGGUGCUCGAUUGGCGAACGGGUGAGUAACACGUGAGUAACCUGCCCUUGACUUUCGGAUAACUUCAGGAAACUGGGGCUAAUACCGGAUAGGAGCUCCUGCUGCAUGUUGUGGGUUGGAAAGUUUCGGCGGUUGGGGCUGGACUCGCGGCUUAUCAGCUUGUUUGUGUGGUAGUUGCUUACCAAGGCUUUGACGGGUAGCCGGCCUGAGAGGGUGACCGGCCACAAGGGGACUAAGAUACGGCGCAGAAGCCUACGGGAGGCAGCAGUGGGGAAUAUUGCACAAUGGGCGGAAGCCUGAUGCAGAAACGCCGCGUGCGGGAUGACGGCCUUCGGGGUGUAAACCGCUUUCGACUGAGACGAAGAGGGAGUGACGGUAAUGGGUAAAGAAGCACCGGCUAACUACGUG
rnacentral:rRNA from 1 species